UAGGGAAUCUUCGGCAAUGGACGAAAGUCUGACCGAGCAACGCCGCGUGAGUGAAGAAGGUUUUCGGAUCGUAAAACUCUGUUGUUAGAGAAGAACAAGGACGUUAGUAACUGAACGUCCCCUGACGGUAUCUAACCAGAAAGCCACGGCUAACUACGUGCCAGCAGCCGCGGUAAUACGUAGGUGGCAAGCGUUGUCCGGAUUUAUUGGGCGUAAAGCGAGCGCAGGCGGUUUCUUAAGUCUGAUGUGAAAGCCCCCGGCUCAACCGGGGAGGGUCAUUGGAAACUGGGAGACUUGGGUGCAGAAGAGGAGAGUGGAAUUCCAUGUGUAGCGGUGAAAUGCGUAGAUAUAUGGAGGAACACCAGUGGCGAAGGCGGCUCUCAGGUCUGUAACUGACGCUGAGGCUCGAAAGCGUGGGGAGCAAACAGG
rnacentral:rRNA from 1 species